CUUGAAUGUAACACAUUGUGGAAAUCAUAAUAUAAGCAGCCAGGGGAUGAAAAACUUCUCAUUCCAAAUGGCUUUUAAUUAAAAAGAAAAAGAGAAAUCUAGUUUCACUGUAAUCUGUAUUAGAAGAUUAGCACGGAUGGAUGUCCUGCUCAGGACUCCCAAACCUCACCUUCUUAUCCUCUUUCCUGUCCUUUCCAACCUGUUUGACCUCGGUGCUUUCAUCACUAUGUGCAUUGUCUAAUAACCUAACAGUUUUAAAUUCAGUAUUCAUUUUUUGGAUUUUUAAAAAACAAAUACCUUUUAAAGACAGUUUUGUGUUCAACUUAUGUUAGAUGAUUUAUUUUAAAUUUAAUGACUGCAAAAACGUGCAUUUCUUUACUCUAAAAGCAUCAUGGAAUUUCAUUGCCAUAUUUAAAAAGUUCAUAUAAACCAACUGCCAAAAUACUACCACCUUAGAAAUAAUAUAGCUGUGGGCAAAUGUUACGGACUGCUGAGGCAAAAGUCACCCAAACUGUACAAAGGCAGGCUAUUCGUCAAGAAAGGAUACUUGGAUCAUCCUGAUGAAAUGAAUUACUGACUGCUCUCAUAAGUAAAAUCAAGUGCAGCCUGGACUUAAUUUUGCCCAGCAAGGAAAAGCUAAUUGGUGGUGGAGAAGGGAUAAGAAUGGCAGGAGAAAGCACCUUUGUCAUCCUCAACUUGGACUUGGCACAUGAGGAACUAAGAAAGAAUGGUAAAAGCAUAGAAGAAUUUUGAAAGAAAGCAUCUCAGAACACGAGAUAGCAAUCUGGAGGAUAAUGCAUUAAUAGGAGAUGGAGAAUACCAUGAACUUCGCAGUGCUUGUAAGAGAAAUAAACAUCAAAUUCCAAAGAUGUCUUGCCAUUGCUGCAAGCCUGGAGAGCGAGAGAAGGAAGAGAAGGAAGACUGUAGCCCUCCAGGCUCCGCCAUGCAUGGGAUUCUCCAGGAAGAAUACUGGAAUGGGUUCUCCAGGGGACCUUUCUGACCCAGGGAUCAAAUGUCUCUUGUCUCCUACAUUGGCAGGGCUCUGCACAUGGUCUGUUGCGGUCAGACUCCUAUGUGGUGCACUAUCUUUUGAACAGCUAGAAGCAAUUACACUCCAGCAAUAAUGAGCACACCCAGCACCAAAGUCUUGUCUUCUAAUAUUAUGCCGCACUAAGAGAAACCCGUGUUUCCUUGGAGAAAUAGCUGAUUUCAAGACCGUGAUGGGGAAAAUAACAUCUUUUUGUGCCGGAAUAUAAGUAAGAGAAGAUGCACAUAUGUAGUAUUGAAGAGUAAAGGAGUGUGCUGUGUUAUGAUUUAUGCAACCCAAACUUCAACAUAUGUUUGCAGGAAACAAGAGAUUGGUAGUGCAAAUGUGGCAAAAUGCCAGCAACUGCAUCAGGGUCUUUUCCAGUGAAUUGGCA
ensembl:lncRNA